rnacentral:lncRNA from 1 species
ACAUUCACUAUUUCUUAGCCAUGUCCAUGAGGUUUAGUUCUAUUAGAAAUUCAAGGUUCGUCGUAUCAGUACUGGACUCGUACCGGUGCCACACUAGCAUAGUGUCGGUAUGGUAUGGUAUGGCGUUUUUUUGGUGUACCGAAGGUCGUUCGCCACCCAUACCGAUACUGGUACCAGUACCGAACCGGUACAGUACGAUACAUCCGGUACACUCGGUAUGGUACAGUAUGGUACGGCAUACUAUGAUUAGAAUAUAAACAUAUUAAUUGACAUGCAUGCAUGACCUCCAUAUCCAGCACAUACUCAACAUGGAUAUCUCAAUCCAAAGCAUUUGUCUUCUGUUUUUAACUUUACUAAGCCACUAGGAUCUAAUACCAAAUCUUUAUCCACGUUAAUAUCCAGUAUCGUAGUUAGCCAGCAUUCUCUGACAGAAAUCAAAGACGCCGCUGAUAGAAUUUGACUAAGCUUGGUCUUGCAGAUAGGUAGGAAAAAGUUUGUUGAUUUAUGUUUCACAAGUUAGAUUCAAUAUCACAUCCUUAAAGUUGCAAGAUAAAACGUAAGCAGUAAAACGGGAACAAAAUUGAACACUACACUUUGUAGCUAAUACUUAGAGGCAGCUUCCAGCCUAAUCAAAAUACUACUGAUCUCAUAAAUAUUUCUUCUUUCACUGACUGAAUUAGAUUCUUUAGACUAGAAUCAACAAAUAAUAAAUACAUUUAAAAUUGGUAAGACAUCAUCUGAUUUGGUGCCUCUUGAAUGCCUUUCUGGCAAGCAGAAAAUAACUUCUACCUCACCACACUAGAGAGGUUUAGUGCAAAACUUUUAAAACUAACUUUGUCUAAAUUCAGUCUCUGAUGGCAUGUAAAGACUUAAAUUUUAGAUUUCCAUAAGAAUGAAAAGUUUUAAAAAGAAUGUUCCGCACGUUAAUGAAUUUAGACAAAAUAUCAUUGUGUCUUUCUGCAUACUAUAAUGAUAUUUUCCAUACCAGUUAUAAUGUUAAAAAUAUGAAGGAUCAACAGUUUGUUCCUUGAUCCCAAUUUUUGAAGAGCAAUAAUAAACUAAUUGUGUUGUCAAAGAACGGAAGCAUUUCGUAUGGAAAACCUAAAAGCUGCCUCUUCUGUGCUUUAAAGCAAACUUUAGGCCUAGGUUGUAAGCCAGGUAUGGAAUUCCUCCCCCCUCAAUAUGUAGUAUAAGUUUUAUCUUUCAUCAUGGCUCAAGAAGGAAUCUAGAUA